CUUACGUGUUCGCUUGCCUGGAGGCUUUUGACUAACAUGUCAUCCACAUAGACCUCCAUGGUUCUGCUAAUGAGUUCGGCGAACAUCAUGUUGAUCAGUCUCUGAUAUGUGGCUCCGGUAUUUUUCAAUCUGAAGGGCAUGACUUUGUAGUAGUAGAGUUCCCUGUCUGUGAUGAAUGACGUAGCUUCCUCAUCAGGUCGGAACAUGGGUAUCUGAUUGUAUCCCGAAUAUGCAUCCAUGAAGCUCAACAGUUCAUGUCCAUCAGUGGAAUCCACAAGUUGGUUUAUUCUUGGAAGUGGGAAGCUGUCUUUAGGGCAUGCCUUAGUCAAGUUAGUGAAGUCUACGCACACCCUCCACUUCCCGCUGGACUUUUUUACCAGGACCGGGUUGGAUAUUCACUUCGGGUAGAUGGCUUUCCUUAUGAAACCACUGCGGGUAAGCUUGCCUACUUCGUCUUUGAGAGCCUCGUACCUUUCUGGGUUGAGGGCACGUCUUUUCUGCCGAUGAGGAGCACAGGAGGAGUUGAUGUUAAGAUGGUGGCAACUGAUCCUUGGAUCUAUCCCCACCAUGUCCUCGUGCCUUCAAGCGAAGACAUCCAAGUUCCUUUUCAGGAAGCUUACCAUCUCCUCUUUCGCUUCAGGGGGCAGUGCCUUUCCUAUUCGCAAGACCUGACUAGGGUCCUCUGAGUUGGCGGAGAAAGUCUCUAGUUCUUCCAUUGGGGUUGCAUUUGGUUCAGAGUCAAUUAUCCGGGGAUCUAACUCAUCAAGAGGGUGUCCUUGUUCAGGGGCAUCUUCCAUAUUGAUAUCUUCCUCCUGUUCGGAGGUAUGCCCAUGUUCAGGGGCGUCAAGCAUUUCUACGUCCAUACUGACUUCAUUGACAACUUCAGUUAUGAUCACAUUAAUAGUUCGGGGCUCCGACUUUCUCAGAGAGUUCAAGUAACAUGCCCUGGAGCCCAUCUGGUCACCUCGGACCGUAGCAAUCCCAUGCUCAGUUGGGAAUUUCAUACACAAGUAGUGGGUAGAAGUGACGGCCCAAAAAUCUUUCAAAGUGGGUCUGCCCAAUAUUCCAUGAUAACCCGAUCUGUGGUCUACCACUAAGAAUUUCAUGAAGUGUUGGGCCACUAGGGGUACUGAACCCAUCUUGAUGGGCAGAGUGAUCUGCCCUCAUGGAACGAUGCCGUUUCCAGUAAAUUCGAAUAGUGGGUCGAUCAAGGGGAUCAACCCAUGUUCAAUUUGCAUUUUGUCGAAGGUGGAGCCGAACAGUAUAUUCACUGAACUUCCAUUGUCGACGAACAUGCAGUUAAGUCCGUUUCUAGCCACUACGGCUCUUCCAACCAAUGCGUCACAAUGGGGGUGGUGAACUCUAUUUGCAUCUUCCUGGGAGAAGGUGAUUGGGGCCAUCUUAUCAGCCGCUUGUGAUUCAUUGACAAUGUAGGUAAUCAUUGGCAGGUCCUUUGCUUCUCUUGUGUAAUUCCUUUGGGCGUUCCUGGUGUUGCCAUCGAUGUGAGGUCUCCAAAUGAUUGUGCCGAUCUCCCUGAUGACUUGGCUUCCAGAGAAUGGGGCCUGAUCUCUCUGCCUAGACUGACCUCGGUCCCUUGAUUCUCUUCUUCGAGGCGAUUGCUCUCUAUGCCCUCUCUCUCUCCUGUUCGGGGAGGCGGAUCUGCGAGGAUAUUCGCUCCUGUUGGAAGGAUGUGGAUUGCUUCGAUCAGGGCAUCGAUUAGCGUCUCGACACUCACUAGUGUCAUGUCCAUAGAGUUGGUGGAAAGUGCAAAACAUUGCCCUUUCCAAGGGCCUGUUUGACCAUUUCUUCUUCUUCUUCUUACUAUCAGCUCUUCCGGAUGGUCCUGCUUCGCCAGGAGCAUUCUCAUAUGUCAAUACCGGCACUGCAUUUAAUGUGGCGGAAGCCAGUGCCUGUCCGGAGGUGGGAGCUACUGUAUGACCUACUUGAGUCCACUGCUGAGUGACGAGGUGCGCUGUGGGUCCUCGACCUACCUGCCUCUGAGGCGGAGGGAGUCCCUGUGCGGCACGAUUUCGAUGAUCAAUCAUUUCCCUACUGACGAUUUCCACUCUCAUCAUUUCUACCAGUUCAUCAUAGGUGGCAGGAUGCUUGCUGCGCACGUCUCUCCAGAACAAUGUGUUCAUGUUGAGACCGCCUUUCAGAGCUGAAAGGGCUUCCCUAUCAGUAACCUGUUCGCAGUAUGUGAUUUCGUCUGUAAAUCGGGUGAGAUAGCUUUUCAACGUCUCUCCAGGGGUCUGCCUCAUAUCUUGCAGGCGUUGCAUUAGGGCCUCUCCUUUCCUGUGUGAGAGGUAUUGGUUUAAGAAUGACUUCUUCAAAUCUGGCCAACUCCUAAUGCUCAGGGGAGGAAGUCUGUUAUACCAUACUUCAGCAGCUCCGCCCAGGGUUAAGUGGAAGGUUCUGCAUUUCAAAGCAGGCGAGGCUCCCCUGAGGCUCAUCCGUGUCAUGUACUUGGUGAGGUGCUUCUCCGGGUCCCCCAUUCCUUCAUACUUGGGGAUCUUAGGGGGCAUGAAAUUCACCAGCAUCGGAAAGCUUCAGAUUUUCCUUGAAAAAGGGAGGUUAUCAUCAUCAUCAUCGAUCUCAUAAGAUCAACAGGGCCCAUCUAACCCUUUAUCAUCUUGAAUAUCCUGGGAAGGUGGAGGUGCUUCUCCUCGGCCUCUCCAAUCGACUAGGUUCCUUCUAUCCCUCCUAUUUCUAGGAGGAGGUGCCUGUUCUUAUUCCUGGUCUUUUCGAACUGAUCUUUACACUGAGCGGGCCCUAUUACUAGGGUCCUGCCCUAUUCGGUCGAAGACGUUUACUGACCUUUGUUCCUUAUAUUCUUGAGGAAAAUUUUCCCUAGCUGUGGUUCUGCUGGCUGGCUUCCUUGCACAUAGGAUGUGGCUUCCACUCCCACUUCUCUUUCGAGAGGGCGUUCUCUGUGCCAGCUCAUAUGGCUUCGGGAACAAGAUACAGGGGCUUCCGGCACUGGGUAAGAUCCUUGGGGCAUUUGAUAGCCCUGCUAACCUUGGGCUUGCAUGAGAAGUUCAUGCAUCGCCAUAUUCUGAGCUGCGAUGUCUCCCAUGCCCGCUGCUAUUUGUGUCAUCCCUUUAGUGAGCAUGGCCGUUCUUGCACCUCGACGACGCCGGUGAUGGGGUCUCUGGUAAGUGACAUUGUUAUAGAGCACCUCUUCUUCAGAGGCCUCUCUCAUGGGGUUGUCGUCUUCAUGGCUGGAACUCAUUCUAUCUCAUUUUUUAAUGGUGAUGAGAAUUCGGGAUAUAACUCGACUUUGUUCUUUUUCAAGAACGUGCCCUUUUCAGGGUAAGUCGCUAGUUUUUCGGUGUUUUCUCCGGUGGAGAAUGUAGAACUUUGAACGGGAAGUUUCCCACAGACGACGCCAAUCUGUUGACCUGGAAAAUUGGACCCUCCACGUGGCCAACCGACAGCCACUCCACGUAUUCCUCCCUACGCACAAUCAACGCACGGUCAGAUACACACGGUUGGGACCAGCGGGGGUGGCGACAGCUGUAUACACUCCGACGGUCAAGUUAGGCUCAAGUGAUUGGAAUAGUACCAAUGUUAUGCAAAAUACUGGGGAGGAGAAUAUAUAUUUGCUUGUUAUGGAGUGCUAAAUAGGAAGAGUUUCAUUACCUUUGCCUCUUACCAAGCCUUGGAUAUUUAUAGGUGAGGAGAGCCGUUGGAUGUGAGACAUGUGUAUACAUCUGAACGGUAUGAGGCGACUACUCAUAGGCGUCAAUCAGCCGCGUUUGUAGAGUGGGCGUGUAGUUACUUCUCCCGAGUUGAGUUGGCAUAAAGUUGGUAGGUCGCAUCAACUAGUCUCAUGGAGACGUCAAAUCACUUUAAACCUUAGAGGCAGAAAAGAUCUUGACAAAGAUCUCAUUUUGAAAUCGACGGUGAAUCCUCAAGUCGGGGUCCACGAGGUUCAUUUCGCCUCGGAUUCAGGGGGCUAGGGUGCUUCGGUCAGCACUGCAGAAUUACCUAUGCCUCGUAGUGUGAUAUCAAAUCAUCUCCAUUGGUGAAGUCACAUCAGAACCACUUCGGAUGAGCAUUCCACACUUCGCCUGAUGUGGUGGUGGACUUUCCGAAAUGGUUCAGUUAGGGGCGUAACAGAAUCUUUUCAAGCACUUGGCGAUGACUCUGACAUAGGUUGAAAAGUUUUGUAAUUUAGAUUGCUUCUCAUGUAAAUCAUGAAGACAUGUCUAUUGUUCUUUCUUCGAGUUCUAAUAAAAGCCCAUUGAACAGUACUGGUUGACAAAUUUAGUGGGAUUUUAUGAUAUCUUGAUUUUCAAAUACAUUUUUCGAGUACUCAUACUAGAAAGUAAUGAUUUUCAAGCAAUCCAUAACUUUUUGAAAAAAUAAAAUUGAUUUUUUUUUCUUUUUUGUUCCUACCUGUCUACAUGCCUCAUUUGGGUAAUCU
rnacentral:lncRNA from 1 species